GCCAGGUAUGGUGGUGCAGACCUGUGGUCCCAGAUACUCAGGAGGCUGAGGUAGGAGGAUUGCUUGAGCCCAGGAGGUUGAGGCUGCAGUGAGCCAAGAUUACACCACUGCACUCCAACCUGGGCAACAGAGCAAGACUCUGUCUCAA
rnacentral:SRP_RNA from 1 species